AGUCCUAAGAGGAGAGCUGCGGACGUGCGGAGGGGCAUCUUGGGGGCACGUGGAAAGACUGGCGGACGCACGAACCCCUAUACUCAGGAAUAUGGGGUCACAGGGAGAAGGGGAGGGGGUGUCCGAGGCGACCUGAACGCGAGGAUUUGGGGCAAAAAGGCACUUCAAAUGAUAAUGAUGCUCUAAUUUGCAUGCAUUGUUGGAGGAGUCAUCCAGUUGCUGGCUUGAUCCCUGCUAAAAGAGCAUACCAGCUGCAAAUUGACAGAAGAAUCUGAUACACGUGAAGAUGGGGACUUGGAGGCUUUAUCUGGAGCUGCAGCUACCAGGAGCCCCCUUCUGGUCUUCUCCAAGAACUGCACCUUGGCUUCAUGGCCUUACCUUGGCACCUGGAACAUGGACUCCUUCAGUAUCUUCCAGUACCUG
rnacentral:lncRNA from 1 species